rnacentral:rRNA from 1 species
GUAGUCAUAUGCUUGUCUCAAAGAUUAAGCCAUGCAUGUCUAAGUGUAAACAAUUACAUAGUGAAACUGCGAAUGGCUUAUUAUAUAAGUUAUCGUUUAUUUGAUAGUUCCUUACUACUUGGAUAACCGUGGUAAUUCUAGAGCUAAUACAUGCUAAAAACCCCGACUUUGGAAGGAGUGUAUUUAUUAGAUUAAAAACCAAUGCCCUUCGGGGCUCACUGGUGAUUCAUAAUAACUUCUCGAAUCGCAUGGCCUUGCGCCGGCGAUGGUUCAUUCAAAUUUCUUCCCUAUCAACUUUCGAUGCUAGAGUAGUGUUCUAGCAUGGUUACAACGGGUAACGGAGGGUUAGGGCUCGACCCCGGAGAAGGAGCCUGAGAAACGGCUACUACAUCCAAGGAAGGCAGCAGGCGCGCAAAUUACCCAAUCCCGACACGGGGAGGUAGUGACGAUAAAUACUGAUACAGGGCUCUUUUGGGUCUUGUAAUUGGAAUGAGUACAAUUUAAAUCCCUUAACGAGGAACAAUUGGAGGGCAAGUCUGGUGCCAGCAGCCGCGGUAAUUCCAGCUCCAAUAGCAUAUAUUAAAGUUGUUGUGGUUAAAAAGCUCGUAGUAGAACCUUGGGCCUGGCUGGCCGGUCCGCCUCACCGCGUGCACUGGUCCGGCCGGGCCUUUCCCUCUGUGGAACCGCAUGCCCUUCACUGGGUGUGCCGGGGAAACAGGACUUUUACUUUGAAAAAAUUAGAGUGCUCCAGGCAGGCCUUUGCUCGAAUACAUUAGCAUGGAAUAAUAGAAUAGGACGUGUGGUUCUAUUUUGUUGGUUUCUAGGACCGCCGUAAUGAUUAAUAGGGACAGUCGGGGGCAUCAGUAUUCAAUUGUCAGAGGUGAAAUUCCUGGAUUUAUUGAAGACUAACUACUGCGAAAGCAUUUGCCAAGGAUGUUUUCAUUUAUCAGGAACGAAAGUUAGGGGAUCGAAGACGAUCAGAUACCGUCGUAGUCUUAACCAUAAACUAUGCCGACUAGGGAUCGGACGAUGUUAUUUUUUGACUCGUUCGGCACCUUACGAGAAAUCAAAGUGCUUGGGCUCCAGGGGGAGUAUGGUCGCAAGGCUGAAACUUAAAGAAAUUGACGGAAGGGCACCACCAGGGGUGGAGCCUGCGGCUUAAUUUGACUCAACACGGGGAAACUCACCAGGUCCAGACACAAUGAGGAUUGACAGAUUGAGAGCUCUUUCUUGAUUUUGUGGGUGGUGGUGCAUGGCCGUUCUUAGUUGGUGGAGUGAUUUGUCUGCUUAAUUGCGAUAACGAACGAGACCUUAACCUGCUAAAUAGCCCGUAUUGCUUUGGCAGUACGCCGGCUUCUUAGAGGGACUCUCGGCUCAAGCCGAUGGAAGUUUGAGGCAAUAACAGGUCUGUGAUGC